GUGUCAAGGGAUUGGAAUCUAACCCACAACCUUCUGCUUACCGGGCAGAUGCCAUUACCACACACACACACUAGGCUAUAUA
rnacentral:tRNA from 1 species